rnacentral:rRNA from 1 species
CGUAGGGUGCGAGCGUUAAUCGGAAUUACUGGGCGUAAAGCGUGCGCAGGCGGUUCGUUAAGUCAGAUGUGAAAGCCCCGGGCUCAACCUGGGAACUGCAUUUGAAACUGGCGGGCUUGAGUGUGGCAGAGGGGGGUGGAAUUCCGCGUGUAGCAGUGAAAUGCGUAGAGAUGCGGAGGAACACCGAUGGCGAAGGCAGCCCCCUGGGCCAACACUGACGCUCAGGCACGAAAGCGUGGGGAGCAAACAGGAUUAGAUACCCUGGUAGUCCACGCCCUAAACGAUGCUCACUAGGUGUUGGGGAAGCGAUUCCUUGGUACCGUAGCUAACGCGUGAAGUGAGCCGCCUGGGGAGUACGGCCGCAAGGUUA